ensembl:lncRNA
UAAUACAGUUGAGGUUUGCUUUUGGAGUACAGACCAGUUAAAAUUCUGAUUCAAUACAGUGGAAAUUUAUUUGGAAAUGCAGUCUUGUUUAGCAUUCUGAUUACAUCUCCAUUUAGCUUGACUCACGUCUUACAGAAGAAAAAAUAUUAUUUUCUAGAUAAAAUGUUGUUAAACCAUUGUUUAUAAAAUUUAUAUACUUAUGACAUAAAAUAGGUAACUACAUGAACAGAUUAAUAUAACUGACUAAGAAUCAUAUUACAGUAUUCAUUUUUUGCUUCUGUUUAAUUCCAGGGUAUAUCAUGCCUUCUGUGUUCCCUCAGGAUAUUGAUGCUUCUCCUCAAAAAUGAAGUGUACUCAAAGAUACUUUUUCUUUUGACUUUUUCUUGUUGAUGUUAGGUGCCUUUUUCAGAUUUUUCAAGGAAAUGAAGCAUGUGUCUGAAAUUGGGCCUCUGAGGACUAUUAAUGAGGUGUCUAAAAAUCAUCACAGAUGGGCUCCCAACCACAUAAAAAAACAAUGGCUUACAGAAGUUCUUCUGUAUUGCAGGUCACCACAGGGGAAGUACACUCCAUUUCAGCGGUGAACUUUAGUUAGCAGAUACCUUCAGACAAUUAACUCUCCUCCAACUCUGCUGAAUUUGCCUCAUUUAUAACAGUCCCAUCUACUCAGCAUUUGUCUGAUUCCAGUUAAUACACUGAUCUAGCAAAAUAAUUGAAAAUUUCAUGUUAUCACACACUGCAUUCAAUAAAUGAUUUUUUUUCUUUAGAAGUAGUGUUCAGAUUUUAGUAAAAAUCAAAUAAAAGCAAACUCAGGUUUGGAAUGAGAGCCAGAGUCCAUAUCAAUCCAGGAAAUCAGAAGUUUGGAGUCUUUUUAUAUCUUUGUGCAUAUGUACUUGUCUACUCUCCAAACAAAAUAGAAGAAAUUUCCUGUUUUUUUAUUGUCACUUUGCUUUAGUUUUGUUUUUUAAGUUCAAAUUUAUGAAGAUUAAGAGUCACUAUGUGGUUAGAUAUAAUUCUAUGUCUGAAAAAAUUGUUUAUCUUUGUCUAAUAUUUCUCUAGAUUCUUGUUCCUAGCUAUAUUAUAUAACAUUGCAUAUUGUACAGCAUAAUCUGCCAUAUUUAUAUCACACCCUGAAUAUCCAGAGCAAAGCACUAGCAGGAUCUUUUUUAUGUAAAUAUUAUUUUCAUGUGCUCUUUUACCCAUAGCACUUCUACUUAGUUUAGUUUUAUUUUGCCAUUUCUUACAUUACUAACAUAAAAUGCUAUCCUUAUAGCAUUUUAUAGCAUUUCCUUAUAUCCUUACCUCUAACUGUUCAAUACCUGUAUUCCAGUCAUGAUUAUAAUUGCCAUUUUAAAUCAUAUACUGUUACUCUCUAUGGAUACUUGAUGCCAGAGAGACCACUUAAGUGAGUGACAUUAAUUGCUACUUUACACUUUGUCAUGGUCAAGUGUAUUUAACACAUCUUCUGUUGUUAAAGAAAAUCACUAGUAAUAAGAAAAUAAAUUUAAAAGAGUAAAGUAAGGAAACAGAAUAUGACGAUUCUGUGUCUGUUUCUUGUUCCUCUUUUUCUAAUAGGCAUAACAAGGCUUCAGGUUACAUUCCAUAGCUAUGCCAUGUUUUACUAUUCAAGGUGACUGUUAACUCAGUUCUUUCUGGCAGGACAAAUUAUUCAUCUUUCAAGUUUUCUUUCUGACACAGAAAUUGAUUACACUAUAAAAUUUGCCUAGCAGCCUUGAAAUGGGUAAUGGAUACACGGAUACAAAAUGUAAAGAAGGAGUAGCAACACACCUAAGCUCUUCUGCAGCAUCUUGCUAACAGAUGGGAUCUGUAACUCCAGUCACCAGUGCUUUCAACUCCAACACAUUUAAGGGAAAGGAAGGAUUCACCAAUCUAUUCAUUUCUCAUUAUUCGAAUAGAGGGCUGUUUACAUAAUGUCAGCACAUGGUUACCCUCUGCUGCAGUCGUUGUACUACCUCUUGGAAAAGGUGAAGAGGUUACAUUUUUAUAUCCCAUAGAGAUGUUGAUUAAGGAAAGAAAGAAAGGAAGAAGCUGCUUCUUAACACCCAAGAAAAAAAAAAUAGCAAGCAUCAUCACACUCACAUUUCUGACACAAGAAAUGGAUUUUUCUGACAGAAAACAAUGAAUUCAAAGCACAAAUGCAUGCAUAUUGUCUAGGGAGAUUGACAGUCUGUGAACAUUUUCCCUUCCCACUGGGUAAUGUCUUUCUUUUCUUUAAGUCCUUAUUCAUCUCUUAUCCAAAAGCUGCCACAGCAUGAUUAGUGUCCCAGAUUUCCUUGGCUACUUCUUAAGGCUUCAUUAACUGCACCUAAGAAAUGAACGUAAUGUAGCCUGCAUGAAAGUCUGAAAAUGUACAGCUGUAAAUGAGCACUUAUUGGGUAAAAAACUAAGGAUCCAUGAACAAAAAAAAAUUUGAUAACUACUGUUUUAGGCAUUGAAUUCCUAUCAAACAUAGAUUUCUAGGUGUAUCAUGUCUAUCACCACUGCUGAAGAUUAGUUUUCCUUCCUCAGAGAUUUAGUCGAAUAUAUAGGCUUAGAUGAGUAUUUAUUAAUUUUUUCCUGUAUGUAUGUGAAAUAGAAAAUUGUAUAUUCAGGUAUUUUGCUUCCUGAUCUAAACUGUUUUGAAAACAACUCAAACCUUUGAACUGCAUGAUGGCUUUAUUCAGUUUUCCUUAAGCUUUUAAAAACUAGUAGAACCUUAAUACCUUUUCUGUCUUAAAAGAAGAAUUCUAUUUUAAAAAUGUAACAUUUCUGUAAAAAAAAAAAAAAAAAAAAGAAUUCUUAUUGUAGAGUAAGUGGAAUUUUAGGAUCCCAGGACUUUUGGUCUGUAAGUACCUUUUAUAUUGCAUCAUAUUCUUCCUUCACAAGAAGCCAGAUACCCUCUGUUCUGCCUCAGUAUCUGCUACCUAUGCACUUGAGUGGCUCUUACAAAAUGAAGUGGCUCCUGGUACUGAAAUUCCCUCCUUUUUAGCUGCAUUCUUGAGGGGAAUGUAUCUGCUGGAUACCUUAUUGUUUCAGUUGCAAGACAAAGUCUACUCAGACUCUAUCCUGCACUUAAGAACUUAAAUAUUAUGAAUAAACAAUAAUUAAUCUGAGUGAAUACUGGAGUUGAAAUGCAUCUUCUUUGAAUGUUUAUGUAUAUGAGCCUUAUCUUAUGCAUAUGGUUAAAGCAAAAUUUAUAUUUUGAUUUGGAAGCAACAGCAAAAACAACAAAUAAAAAGACAAAGAAUUUACUAUUUUUUAAAUAACAGAUUAAUGUUGCAAUGAAAUGUGCAGUCAUCCUUUUCAAUGCAGUCAUCAUUUUCAUUUCUGGGAAGGAUAUCAAUAACUGUAAUUACUACAUCAGCUUAUAACAUGAGUUCUCUACAUAAUUCCACAAUGUUUUUCUUCAGAAUACUGUAACUGGAAAAGACCUUGUAUAUUUGAGGAAGGUCUUGCAUUGAUGAAAUGAAGCCAGCUGUAGAACAGUCACAGUAUAUAGGACUAUGUAGCAGAACAGGCAGAGCAAAAUUAUUGUUGUCAGCUAAUAUGCUCAAGAGAGAUAACAUGAAAACACAUAUAUUUAUAUAUUUAUUUGUAUAUAGCUGAGCAGCUUACCUAUUUCACAGCUAUAGUCAGCCUUAGUAAUUUUGAAGGUCAUAAAACAGGGUAAGACUCUUAUCUAAAAUUUUACUUUGACAAAAGUAAAUAAUCACGCUCUUACAAAACCACUUUCCCCCACUCCCAACGACCAUUAGAUGGUGAUACUGACAAAAUAAAAAUGGUAUCUAAACUGUCCUUGUAGGUCUAUCUUUAAAAUGACUUUAAUGAGGAAUGUUAACCAAAAACAAUUAGUGUAUCUAUUAAUUAUCUGCAUGCAAUAGUUUUUUUCAUCAUUUGUUUUCAUUACAUAAUAUACAUCUUCUGUUUGACAUAAUAUAUUAAAUCAAAUUCUAUGUAAAGAACCUGAACUUUGAAACUAUUCUUGUGAGAUACCCAUGGCAUUCUGAACAUGACUGUAGACAUGGUAUACAGAGUGGAACCAGCAUGUUAAACAUGAAAUCAUCUGCUUUUACAGAAAUACUCUAACCCUUGUUAGCCACAAAGAUUUUGAACAACCUGAGUAUUGUGCACAGACAGUCAGCUUGUCAUUAAUACAAUACAACACUACUUUUCUUAUUUCUGACCCAAUGUUUAGAUGGUUUUCAUUUGGCAGUUCUCAACUUUGCUCUGUUUCUGAAUCUCAGGUGAAUGGUAACUUACAGUUAACACUGUAACUUCUAUGUGGGACUGUUAGGUUUUAUUAUGUUAGGUUAGGUAAUUCACACCACUGCUGGUGAUGUUAUGAAUGGCUAGCAUAUAAUGAACACAUGUUUAACUUUAAGUAAAUCACAUACACUGACACUAAAAAGAAAAUUAUAAUUUGUGCUGCAUAAGCCUAGACAGUUAAAGCAGACCUAUUAAAAACUGUACUGGUCUAAGUGUAUUUGAAAUGUUUAUUUCUGCAAGGUAACUAUAUAAAAAAACACAACUAAGUAUUUAUAUAAAUCAGCAAGUAUGCACACACAGAAUGUAGAGAUAAGGUUGUGUAUGUAGCGGGGCUGUAUAGCAAACAAAACUUCAGGCAUAUAUGCCUAUAUGCCAAUGUAGGCAGGUAAACAUGUUCUUUUAAAGACUAUAUAGUGUACUUCUACAUCUGGAAAUUCUAUGCUAUUUAAAUUAAGCCUGGGUUUUGGUAAUUUUGGAUCUCUGACAACUUUUUACUUUAAUCUUUAAGCUGGGUUUUCGACCUUCUCAAAAUAGUGUGACCAGACCUAGGAUCAUUGUUGAGUUCCCAGAACCCUUUCAGAAGCCUUUAAAAAAGUGACUGACUUCACAGAGCACAUCACAGAGGAUUUCAGAUUACACCACACCGGCACCUGGAGACCAUCUUCCUUAUGCCUGAGAAGUUACAAGAUGGAAUUUGUUCAUACACCACUUCAGCACCUACACAAAUAUGAAUUCAGAUAUGGAUCCAUUUUCAGAUGGUGUACUGACCUAAUUUACUCAGACACUACAGUCUUUCUCUAUGUAAUCCUAAUCAGCCUGGAAAUCUAACAACAUGUUGAGUUUGUCUUUAAAUUCCUGAUGGAUCAGAAGAGUACAAUCUUGUUUCUCUCUUCUUACCUUGCUGUUCUUUUUUUUUCACUCUUAUUUCUUUAAGUACUACUGCCACACUUGGGGUAAAAUUUUCCUACUCCUUUGACCUUUUGGAACACCAUUCCUGUAAUUUUUUGCCUCAUUAACUAAUAAUAUAAUAUGAAAAACUCUCAGGUCUGUGAGUUCUAAAUUCUUUUUUAUUCUAUUGAGCUCUAAUACAAUAUUAUCCAGACAAUGAGAGUUUAUGUCAAAACAUGCUGAUCCUAAUGCCAAAUUUUGCAUAGGCUUAGUGUAUAUCUCUAAGAAUGUAUGAAUCUCUUUGCAAAACAAAGAAAAAAAGUAUGUGCAUAAAGUGCUUCCCCUAUGGGAUGCAUAGCAUUGAUUUUCUUUAUUUAUCAUGCAUAGAGACAUUUGUCAGUAUAAAUUAAGCUAACUUAGAUUCGUGUUGCUUUGAAAGAUACUACUUAAAUUAAAAUGGAAUUACGUUGUCAUUUGACCAGAAUCAUUGAUUAUUUGAGAAUAUCUUCAGUACAUAUUUCUUCCAAGCUGAUUUUUUAAUCAGAAUUUAUGACUUGAUUUUCAAAGUUGUGCAUUCCAACAGACUAGCAAAUAUCCCAGUUACCCAUGAAGUUAGACAGUUUUAUGUGAAAAAAACCUUAUUAGAUUACUUAAAUAUCAAUUAUUUUGCAUAUAUACUUACGUGCAAGCAUUGUACAAUUAUCUAUUUCUCUUUGGUAUUUAUGAACAUAAAUAAUGACUUAAAUUAGCAAGAUUUGUCCCUUUUUCCUUACAUUUCUUCUUACAGAGGACCUUCAUUUUCAUAGCUCAGGCACUAGACUGUGAACUUUCUGAUUAUGAUGCUGAACUUGGCACAUUUUUCUUUUUAAGUAUAGAGCAAAGGAGUAUGACAUUCUUAACUAUCUUGCUUUAUAACAGUUCCCAGGGUUUGCAGGAAAAGGGUCACUGGCGUUGUUAACAGUACUGAACAGUUCACUGGUUUGCAGAAAUAUAUUUUUUCUUUCUGACAUGACUGAAGUAUCUGAAUAGAAGGGCUGUUGUUUAAUGGUGUUUAACCACACUAUCUUCUACCAGUCAUGCAACAAAUACAUCUAAUAUUUUUUCAAAAGAAGUCGACAGAGUAAUACAACUAGACAACUCAACAUUUAAUACUUUAUUCCAUGCCUGGAUCUGUCAGUGACUUUCAGCGUGGCCCUGUAGAUGUAGUUCAUUUAGCCAAUGUACGAUUGAAUGUAUUGAUAUAUACAUAAAUCAUGAAGGCAUUUAGAGGUUUGAUAACAUAAUGUGCUUAAAUUUUCAUGAAACAUGGCCUGUUUUGAUGUUACAAAAUACACAGAAGAACAUAUUGUACUUAAUGGCAAGGCAAGAAGCAGGAUGUUAAGAAAGCUGUUUGGAGUAAUACUUUGCCAAAUGUUAAAACUUUGAUUCACCUUUUUUUUUUUUUUUUAACUUUAAUUAUGAGAUAAAACAUGGUAAUCAAAGUCUGAAUUAGCCAAAUUGUAUAUUUAUGGCUGUCAGAGCCGUAAAGUUCAGUGAAAUAGUUCUUUAACGAUGUGUUAUGCAAUGGUGUUAUAGAAGGUAUUAAUUGCAAUGGAAAGCAGAAAUCAGAAGAGUAAAAUUUCUGAGCAUUCUUACAUAAUGGUGCAAUCCUGACAAUUUUCAGCUAGUGAUAUGUUUUAUAUGCUGGGUGGAUUGAAUACAAGUUGCUCACACUUCUAAAAUUAUUCAUGUGUUUAUUUUGUUUGGUGUUAAUCUAAAUCUUUAUAAUACUGUUAAAAUUAUACACCUCCAAAAAUCUUUUUUUUUUUUUUUCGUUUUCUGUUGUGUGAAGGCUGUGUCUCUGAGAAUGCAGUUUAAAGCAAGUGUAGCACUUACAGUAUUUUCCAACUAUUUCCAAUUUAUUUGUAAUACUGUAUUUAUUUGUUUUAAGGAUUAUUGUUAUUCAAAUCUCUGAGGAGAAUCUACAAGAAUGGCAAAGAGCAUAAAUCAGACUAAUUUUUCAAGUUCCACAGCUUUAAUCUUUAUCAAAAGCAAUUACAUCCUCAAAGGAUAAGAGGGACAAAAAUUGCUGCUUUGAUUAUUAUUUUUUUUUUUAAUGGUAAAAUAAUACUGCCCAAGAGAUUUUUUUAUUAUUAUUUAUUUAUUUUUUGCAUAGUAAGAGCAAACACACUUUACCCAUUCUUCUGUAAAUAUAUGUCAAUAAAAUCUGUACAAGGAGAAUCAGCAACUCAGUCAUUGGUUUCAUCUUAGGAUUUGUUUACUGUUCCUUCUGUUGAUGUUUUCAUGAACACUGUUAUUAAAAAAACCCACCACAUUCCUCACAUACAAGUUAAGUCUGACAGAAUCAUAGACUGGCUUGGGUUCAAAGGGAUCUCAAAGGUCGCCUAGUUCCAACCUGCGAUGUAUGAAAUCUUCAGAUUCAAGAGAUCCUGAAGGUUUACUGUCAAGGGCUAUCAGAUAGAAAAGGUUAAUACAGAUUCAGUAACCCUUCUACCUGCAUAAGACAACCUUCAUGGCCAAGGCAGUGUAACUGGGUUAUCUUGAUGCAAUUAAGUCUGCAAUAAAAGCAUAUCUUCCUACUACUGACUUUGUAAGGAGUGGUGUAAAUCUCUGUGUAUGCUAUUAAUAGAUAUUUAUAAGGUGUUACAAGGUGCUUUCCAAAGUACACGCAGAGCGAUUACACUGAAUCUGCCACAAGCCCGCUGUUCUGCUCAUUGGUGUUACAGAGGUGAUGCCCAACUGUGUAGGGCAGAAACUGUGCAGCCAACCAGAGCCAUGUGGAAUUUCAAAGUAAAUGUCAGAUGGAGAGUUCAUAACUACAUGAAGUGGAAUUUGGCCAGGACACUGAAAUUAACACUUUCAACUUUUCUGAAAAACAUUAAGUGAUCUUGCAAAAAUGCAAGCAGUUGGAACAUGUUUCAUAUUUCAUACAAAAAUAGCAUACUUCUACAGCAUGAAGCUCCCUGAAACCAUAAUUGAAUAUAUGGUGAUUAUCUCAGAGGGUAGCAGAGAUAACUAGAAAUUAACAUGACUUAAAUGCUAUUACUUCUAAUUUAUGUAUGUGUGAAAGAGCAGAAAGUUAGGUCUUGGAUUUCCUUGCUUUUUUAUUUUGAAAAGGCAACAACCUCAUGAAAUCCAAGCUCAUUUUUUAAGCAUUUCCAGAGCAGAGUGGUGCCAAAUGUUACAAAUCAUAUGUGGUCUGAGCUCAGAGACCCCAAGACUAUUUCAUUUACAAGGAUAUAAAGUUUACUGUGACUUGAGUCAUGAUCACGCAGGGGAAGAUCUGAUUUUCUCUUCCCCAUAUUUUGAAUCUUCUCGAUACUAACUUAACUGCUUCCAAAUUGUAUUUGUUCAAAACCAUGCUCUACUAAAUGGAUUUCAUCAUCUCUAAUUGGAACUACGAUGCCAAUGCAAACAUGUGUCAUUACACGUCACUUUUUGGAGAUGUUUAAAAAGACUCUAUGGUUUGGUUUAUAUUAAUCCAAAAAUAAAUUAAUCCGGUAUAAAUUAAUCCGAAAGCUACAGUAUAAUAUAUAAAAAAGAAAUGUAUAAACACCUUCAGAUAAUGCUCUGAAUGAAAUAGGCAAAUUGCAUUUGCAGAGUAAUUAUUUUUUUUGUUUCAGAUGGAGAUUUUUUUACAUUUUUAACAUCUUUGUAUAUAGAAGGUGCUUAAGUUGAGGAUUUAUUAAGAGUUGAGGGAAUGGAUCCCAAUGAAAUAUGAUGCUAGCUGGAAAUUUUUAUCCUUAAAAUCAUCUGGACAUCUCCAAAGUCUAUAUACGUUUAUAUGUAUGUUUUAUACUGAUGUUUUAACAUAAUUACACUUUUGAUUUAGUUUAAUAUCCAUGUCCAAAAAAUGAAAUUAAAAGAAUGUAUUGGAUGAAGUUAGAAUUACAUAUUUUUAAAACUUUCUUAUAAAAAGAUAAAAGCAUCCUUAUAUUCCAUUAGGGCAUUUUAAGCAAAUCAGAGCAAUGGGAAUGAAAAUCCAGCAGAAGAAAUUGAGCAGAGGAGGUGGGUGACUGCAUGUCUGAUCAAGAAUCUGCAGCUUAAACCAAGGGAAUAGAGAGAAACUGUGUAGCCUGGGAAGAAUACAGGGACAAUGUCCACAUGUGUAGAGAUAAGAUCAGGAAAGCCAAGGUGCACGUGGAGCUGAACAUUGCAGGGGGUGUGAAAAAUAACAAAAAGGGAUUCUGUAGGUACAGACAGACCAAAGAGAGUGUUCCCUCUCUGAUAAAUGAGCAUGGAGAACUGGCUUUCUCAAAUAUAGAAAAAGCUGAGUUGUUCAAUAAAUGCUUUGCUUUAAUCAUCACCGGUGUUCAGGCUCCCCGUGUCUGCCAAGACCCUGAACCUGUAGAUGUUGGUGUGAUGAGUGGAUUCUGACUCACUGUAACAAUGAAACAAGUCUGAGACCUCCUCAUGAAACUGAAUGUAUAUAAGUCCGUAGGGCCAGAUGAUGUGCAUCUCAGGAUUCUGAGAGAGAUGGCUGAUGUAGUUGCUGAGCCGCUCUCCAUCAUAUGUGAAAAAUCAUGGCUGUUGGAUGAAAUCCCUGGUGACUAGAAAAAGGGAAACAUUACUCCUAUUUUUAAGAAAGGGAGAAAGGAUGACCCAGGGAACUACAGGCCAGUGAACCUCUGUGCCUGGGAAGAUCAUGGAGCAUAUCCUCCUGUUUACCAUGCUAAGACAUAUAUGAUAUGAAGAGGUAAUUCAAGACAGCCUGUAUGACUUCACCAUGGUCUUGCCUAACCAGUCUGGUGGCCUUCUAUGAUGGAGUGAUGGCAUCAGUGGACAGGGGAAGGGCGACGGAUGUCACGUACCUGGACUUCUGCAGUUUUGACAUGGUCCCUCACCACAUUCUUCUCCCUAAAUUGGAGAGGUAUGGAUUUGAAAGAUGGACAGACUGAUGAAUUUAGAGCUGUCUGGCUGGUCACAGCCAAAGGAUUGUGAUCAGUGAUUCUACGUCAGGGUGGAGGCUGGUCACAAGUGGUGUCCUCCAAGGGUUGGUCUUGGGACCGAGCUCUUCAGCAUCUUUAUCAAUGACAUAGAAGUAGACAGUGGAAUUGAGUGCCCUCUCAGCAAUUUUGCAGAUGACACCAAGUGGUGUCUGAGUGGUGUGGUGCAGUCAAUACACUGGAGGGAACGGAAGCCAUCCAGAGGGACCUGGACAGGCCCAUGUGAACCUAAUGAGGUUCAACAAGGCCAAGUGCAAGGUUUUGCACUUGGGCAGGAGCAACCCCAGGUAUUUAUACAGACUGAGGGAAGAACUACUUGAGAGCAGCGCUGUGGAGAAGGACUUGGGGGUCCUGGAGGAUGAGAAGCUGGACAUGAGCCAACAGCAUGCAUUUGCAGCCCAGAAGGCCAACUGUGUUCUGGGCUGCAUUAAAAAAAGGGGUGGGUCACUAAGAUGAUCAGAGGGCUGGAGCACCUCUCCUAUGAAGAAAACCCCCAUGGCAGGGGGGUUGAAACUAGAUGAUAUUUGAGUUCCUUUUCAGCCCAAGCCAUUCUAUGAUUCUAUGAUCUGCACUUAGGCUUUGUUUCACCAUCUGUAAAUCCACUGAAC